rnacentral:rRNA from 1 species
UACGUAGGCAGCAAGCGUUGUUCGGAGUUACUGGGCGUAAAGAGUGUGUAGGCGGUUCUCUAAGUUUGGUGUGAAAUCUCCCGGCUUAACUGGGAGGGUGCGCCGAAAACUGGAGGGCUUGAGUAUGGGAGAGGAAAGCGGAAUUCCUGGUGUAGCGGUGAAAUGCGUAGAUAUCAGGAGGAACACCUGUGGUGUAGACGGCUUUCUGGACCAUCACUGACGCUGAGACACGAAAGCGUGGGGAGCAAACAGGAUUAGAUACCCUGGUAGUCCACGCCCUAAACGAUGCAUACUUGGUGUGAGUCAUUCAGUUGAUUCGUGCCGGAGCUAACGCGUUAAGUAUGCCGCCUGGGGAGUACGGUCGCAAGGCUGAA